AGGGCUAAAGCCCCUCUACGGCGAGAACACUUUUUCGAUCCGAUCACAAUAAGUCAUGACAAGCAUAAAAAAUUAUGCGACUAUAAAGUUAAGAGAAGAGAGCUGAAAGAAGGACUUCCUUUCUCUCUCCUGCCUCUUCUCCAAUACUCCCACUGCCCGAAAAGAGGAACAUGGCUCCUAAAAAGAGGAUCCCAGGUCUACAGAGAAAGAGAGAAGCUCUACUUAGAACAUUGAAAGAGGCAAAAACGUUUGUAACCUCCUGACUCUUUUCAAGGAGAGGCAAGAUACAAUUCUAUCAUCAAUAAAACUCAUUGAUAUUUUAUUUUCCCGAUAUAUGAUUGCAGUUAUUAUGUCUUUGGAUUCAAUAUUAAUUAUGAUUGACUAUGAUU
rnacentral:lncRNA from 1 species